rnacentral:rRNA from 1 species
MRKKCGCCCUUAGAGUUUGAUCCUGGCUCAGAACGAACGCUGGCGGCGUGCUUAACACAUGCAAGUCGAACGUGAUUCAGAGCUUGCUCUGAUGAAAGUGGCGCACGGGUGAGUAACGCGUGGAUAACCUGCCCUGGUAUCUGGGAUAACAUCUCGAAAGGGGUGCUAAUACCGGAUAAGCCUACGGACUCCUCGGAGUCUGCAGGAAAAGGAGGCCUCUAUUUAUAAGCUUCCGUAUCAUGAUGGGUCCGCGUACCAUUAGCUAGUUGGUGGGGUAAUGGCCUACCAAGGCGACGAUGGUUAGCUGGUCUGAGAGGAUGAUCAGCCACACUGAAACUGAGACACGGUCCAGACUCCUACGGGAGGCAGCAGUGGGGAAUUUUGCGCAAUGGGGGAAACCCUGACGCAGCAACGCCGCGUGAGUGAUGAAGGCUUUCGGGUCGUAAAGCUCUGUCAGAGGGGAAGAAAUGAAACGUGCUAAUAUCACGUUUUCUUGACGGUACCCUCAAAGGAAGCACCGGCUAACUCCGUGCCAGCAGCCGCGGUAAUAC